UCUGGAUGAGUUGCGAACGGGUGAGUAACGCGUAGGUAACCUGCCUGGUAGCGGGGGAUAACUAUUGGAAACGAUAGCUAAUACCGCAUAAUAGUAGUUGUUGCAUGACAACUGCUUGAAAGGUGCAAUUGCAUCACUACCAGAUGGACCUGCGUUGUAUUAGCUAGUUGGUGGGGUAACGGCUCACCAAGGCGACGAUACAUAGCCGACCUGAGAGGGUGAUCGGCCACACUGGGACUGAGACACGGCCCAGACUCCUACGGGAGGCAGCAGUAGGGAAUCUUCGGCAAUGGACGGAAGUCUGACCGAGCAACGCCGCGUGAGUGAAGAAGGUUUUCGGAUCGUAAAGCUCUGUUGUAAGAGAAGAACGAGUGUGAGAGUGGAAAGUUCACACUGUGACGGUAUCUUACCAGAAAGGGACGGCUAACUACGUGCCAGCAGCCGCGGUAAUACGUAGGUCCCGAGCGUUGUCCGGAUUUAUUGGGCGUAAAGCGAGCGCAGGCGGUUAGAUAAGUCUGAAGUUAAAGGCUGUGGCUUAACCAUAGUACGCUUUGGAAACUGUUUAACUUGAGUGCAAGAGGGGAGAGUGGAAUUCCAUGUGUAGCGGUGAAAUGCGUAGAUAUAUGGAGGAACACCGGUGGCGAAAGCGGCUCUCUGGCUUGUAACUGACGCUGAGGCUCGA
rnacentral:rRNA from 1 species